rnacentral:rRNA from 1 species
AUUGAACGCUGGCGGCAGGCCUAACACAUGCAAGUCGGACGAGUGGCGGACGGGUGAGUAAUGUCUGGGUAACUGCCCGAUGGAGGGGGAUAACUACUGGAAACGGUAGCUAAUACCGCAUACCAUCGGAUGAGCCCAGAUGGGAUUAGCUUGUAGGUGGGGUAACGGCUCACCUAGGCGACGAUCCCUAGCUGGUCUGAGAGGAUGACCAGCCACACUGGAACUGAGACACGGUCCAUACUCCUACGGGAGGCAGCAGUGGGGAAUAUUGCACAAUGGGCGCAAGCCUGAUGCAGCCAUGCCGCGUGUAUGAAGAAGGCCUUCGGGUUGUAAAGUACUUUCAGCGGGGAGGCGUUACUGGCAGAAGAAGCACCGGCUAACUCCGUGCCAGCAGCCGCGGUAAUUC